UUACAGUUAAAAGAAAAAAAGGCGCGUAUAUCAGCACAGAUAUCAUAACAGUUGAAGCAACAGGAGGCGUGUUAAUAAAAUAAAAUUAAGGUCGAAAUGAAUAAGUUGAUUGAUCGUCCUAGUGAGCUAUAAGCUAACUGUUCCAGUAAUCCAACUGACCAUAAACGUAAAAAGAGGCCAAAGAAGACAUUAUACAAUAACAUCGACAAUCUUCAAUUCAAUCCAAAGGAGUGACGAAAAUGUAAGCAGCAAAAUUCACAUUUGAAAGUGUAAUACAUGUAGUGGAGAUGAAUAAACGUCCAACGAAAGAAGAAGUAGCUGCAGAAAGAUCAGUCGUAAAGUGGUAUCGAACUGCCUGCAUUGCGUAUAGGAAAGGAAAGAUGGACAAUGCUCUCGAACUUUUAUGAUUGUUCUGAAGCACUGGUUGAUGGUGCCAGAGAAGAAAUCAGAAGAGGUACAAAACGGAAAGUGUUUAUAAUGUUACUAACGAUUUAUUGUUUCGUUCAAACAAUUUGGUCUAUGUGGGCUCCGUUAUGCUUUUUUUAAACAGUCACUCAGGGUUUGGUAUCUGAUUGAUAACAAGUGUGCUAUGUCGGGAUGGUGAAAGAGCUUGGCAUUCCUAGAGGGAAUGGAAAACUGUUUCCUUUAAUUUUGUAGCUGACCACAUGUUUUCCAAAUGCUCCAGGACCCGUUAUAGCACCUAUUUGCUUAUAGAUUUCCAUCUGAUCUGAGUUAUAUAUUCAAAUUGUUUAUUGAGCUCCAUCUUCAUCGUUCUUGGCGGAAAUUUGAAUAAAUCUUUGGUGAAGACCUCCACUCCGUUGAAAGGACCAGGUGGACAAGGACCUGGCUUCGCUUGGAAUAGCCAAUUGACGCCAAGUAGCAAAAAGGAGAAACGACUGGUGUGCUGUUGUUAACUCAGGUAUAAACGCGUAAACAGUGUCUACGCCAAUAAAGAAGAAAAAGACGGUAAGGCUAGCAAUGCGGCCGGCUAUCUUUGUAUAUAUAAUCUUUCUGAAUACUCCCGUACUUUUCAAUAGAACUCCACAGACUAUGCCUAGUGAUUCCGCUUGAAAAAGAGUAGAAGUUCCGUUCACAUCUAGAGGGUGUCCUCAUCUGGAAGUAGCUACUGAAUUUAAACCUUAGGUUGUCCUUGUUGUUGUUUUCACCUGGUAGUUUUUGCUAAAAGUACGCCGCACAAAGAUAGCGAGCAGAGAAACGACCAAACGAAAACAAUAGGGGAUUCUCUUGCUCUUGCAAGAUUGCACGAUAACACAAAAGGCAAACAUCCUAUACCGAAAUAUGCAAGGCCAUGAGAGCACCCAUUGCGGAAUAGUGAUAUAUGAACAGCUGAUUCGAUCAAUUUAUUAUGAAUGACUAUUGCGCAAGACUAUUGUGAAUUUGCACACCUUCUUCCUUCUUUCUUGACAAAAAACUGUAAAUAAUCUUUUUAUUUAAGUGGAAGUUAUAAAAUCUAUGUGAAACAUACCAACAAUUUCCUCAACAACCUCAACAAUUUAAAGCUUAGUAUCCAGCUCUCAAGAAAUGUAAAAAAUUCAUGUAAAAAACGCUUAAGAAACGGUCAAGAAACUUUCCUGCGAUAAAUUUACUUGUGCUAGUAUGCAGCUCUAAAGUAAUCUAGUACUAAUUUUUAAUACAUUUUUUCAAUAAAAUGCAAAUAUGGCAAACCUGGUUUUGCGAAGAAACAUGAAAUCAAUAAUUGUUUCUUGAAGGAAGUUCAAAGUAAUCGUUAAAUUCAUCCUAAUAGCCCUGACAGAUGGCAGCGUUAAACCGGAUUAACUGCUUUUUUCGGGAUUAAUUCAGGAGUUACCACAGCUAACUCCGUUGCUGAAUCCAAACAUAACUCUCAUAAUUUUAGGGAGUUUGUGGGAUUUUCGUAGGCAACAUUGUUAAUAAUUGACAGCUGUAUUCUGUUGUGAAUGAAAAAUAAGAACAGUGACAGCCGUUUUACGUUUAAAUGUAAACAAAGUUAUUUUGAAAAGCGACCAUUAAAGAUAAAAAAUAGCUGGCAGAAAAAAGCGUUCAGGGUGGACUUUAAAGAAUGAGUUGGAGCUGCUGGAAAAGUGGGAGGCACGUUCCCACGACCUCCGGCGUACAAAGCGAAAUACUCAUAUACAUAUACAAUGAGAUUUCACAGGAAAUGGCACAAAAAUACACCGCCGAGGAAAUUCACUGCAAAGUGAAAAACAUGACAAAGAAAUACAGGUGAGUUUUUUCAAUAAUUACAUUUCUUCUUUUAACACAUUAAUAACUCUUCUUUGAGAGAGGAGAAAACCAAAAUUGGCCCUUCUGGUGGUAGUCCCUCGUUUUUUCGUGAAUACAUAUCGUUAUUUGUUGUUUACCGAGUUCUUCAGAAAAUAACAUCAUCCGCAAAAAUGUCAAAAUUUAAUAUUUAUUUUAUUUCAUUUUUUAGAGAGGUAUUAGCACUUCAAUGAAAAUACGUACAUCGACACAUCUUGUUUGCUAUUUUGAAUAUACUAAAUAGAUAUCAAUCAAUUGCCGUUUUUUUAGGUUCGUAUCCAGCUCUCAAGUAAUUGCUCAAGAAAAAAAUACAUUAGGGGUAUUCUCUUGCUCUUGCAAGAUUGCAGAUUGCAAAAAUACUAUACCGAAAUAUACAAAUUCUUCAAGUAAUUUAGACAGCUGGUCACGCAUUGUGAAUGAUCCACAUUAGAAGAGCAAGAGAGAAUAAACAAAGAAAAUAAACUUUGUGUCUAAUAUGUAUGUAUGUAUGUGUAUAGUAACAUAAAUAUUUUCAUUGCGGUUUUAGGAAUGUUGUUGAUUGGUUAGUUUUAUACAACAUUUCAAAAUGAAAUAUACUUCAUAAUAAUGAUUUUAACUAAUUUAGGAUGAACUUAACGAUUACUUUGGAUUUCCUUCAAGAAACAAUUGUUGAUUUCAUGUUUCUUCGCAAACCCAGGUUUGCCAUAUUCGCAUUUUAUUAAAAAAAUAUAUUAAAAAUUAGUACUAGAUUUCUUUAGAGUUGCAUACUACCACAAGUAAAUUUAUCGCUGGAAAGUUUCUUGGCCGUUUCUUAAGCGUUUUUUUAUAUGAAGUUUUUACAUUUCUUAGAGUUGGAUACUAAGCUUAACCUAUAACUACUAAUACUUAGCUAUUUAAAGGUGGGUUUCCAGCUCUCAAGAAAAGCAAAAACUUCCUACAAAAAAACGCUUAAAAAAUGAUCAAGAAGUUUUCUAGUGUUAAAUUUUCUUGUAGCAACAUCCAGCUCUCAAGAAAUUAAGUAAGUAUAUUUACUACUUUUAUUGUAUAAUUUCUAUAUAUUUCUGACGCAAAUUGAGUGGGAAGAAGAAGUAAGUUGGGGGUUUUAUUUGAAUUUUGUAUGUUAUUUCGUUUAAUCCUUGGAAAUGGAAGACAUAAUAUCUGUAGCAAAGCGGCAAAAGAGGAUAAAAAAUUUCACAGCGUUUGAAACACGACAACUAAUUAAAGAAGUGGAGGAGUGGCCCCGAAUAUGGGACAUAACAAACGUUAUGCACUCGAAUAAAAAUGCUUUGGAGCAGGCUUGGGUCCACAUAAGCAAUUCGAUGGAUUAGCUUACGGGAGAGCUAUCGCUAUCACGCCAAAGUGGCCCGGAAGCACAAAAGUGGUGGCGCUGAUGGAGAAACGCUGGAGGAGCCUUUUUUCCAGA